rnacentral:rRNA from 1 species
AUUGAACGCUGGCGGCAUGCCUUACACAUGCAAGUCGAACGGUAACAGGUCUUCGGAUGCUGACGAGUGGCGAACGGGUGAGUAAUACAUCGGAACGUGCCUAGUAGUGGGGGAUAACUACUCGAAAGAGUGACUAAUACCGCAUGAGAUCUACGGAUGAAAGCAGGGGAUCGCAAGACCUUGUGCUACUAGAGCGGCCGAUGGCAGAUUAGGUAGUUGGUGGGAUAAAAGCUUACCAAGCCGACGAUCUGUAGCUGGUCUGAGAGGACGAUCAGCGACACUGGGAUUGAGACACGGCCCAGACUCCUACGGGAGGCAUCAGUGGGGAAUUUUGGACAAUGGGCGAAAGCCUGAUCCAGCAAUGCCGCGUGCAGGAUGAAGGCCUUCGGGUUGUAAACUGCUUUUGUACGGAACGAAAAGCCCCGGGUUAAUACCCUGGGGUCAUGACGGUACCGUAAGAAUAAGCACCGGCUAACUACGUGCCAGCCGCCGCCGUAA